AGAACGACGCUGGCGGCAAGGCUUAACACAUGCAAGUCGAGCGCGUAGCAAUACGAGCGGCAGACGGGUGAGUAACGCGUGGGAAUCUACCCAACCCUACGGAAUAACGCAUGGAAACGUGUGCUAAUACCGUAUACGCCCUUUGGGGGAAAGAUUUAUCGGGGAUGGAUGAGCCCGCGUUGGAUUAGCUAGUUGGUGGGGUAAAGGCCUACCAAGGCGACGAUCCAUAGCUGGUCUGAGAGGAUGAUCAGCCACAUUGGGACUGAGACACGGCCCAGACUCCUACGGGAGGCAGCAGUGGGGAAUAUUGGACAAUGGGCGAAAGCCUGAUCCAGCAAUGCCGCGUGAGUGAUGAAGGCCUUCGGGUUGUAAAGCUCUUUUACUCGGGACGAUAAUGACGGUACCGAGAGAAUAAGCCCCGGCUAACUCCGUG
rnacentral:rRNA from 1 species